AGAGUUUGAUCCUGGCUCAGGACGAACGCUGGCGGCGUGCCUAAUACAUGCAAGUCGAACGAAACUUUCUUACACCGAAUGCUUGCAUUCACCGUAAGAAGUUGAGUGGCGGACGGGUGAGUAACACGUGGGUAACCUGCCUAAAAGAAGGGGAUAACACUUGGAAACAGGUGCUAAUACCGUAUAUCUCUAAGGAUCGCAUGAUUCUUAGAUGAAAGAUGGUUCUGCUGUCGCUUUUAGAUGGACCCGCGGCGUAUUAACUAGUUGGUGGGGUAACGGCCUACCAAGGUGAUGAUACGUAGCCGAACUGAGAGGUUGAUCGGCCACAUUGGGACUGAGACACGGCCCAAACUCCUACGGGAGGCAGCAGUAGGGAAUCUUCCACAAUGGACGCAAGUCUGAUGGAGCAACGCCGCGUGAGUGAAGAAGGUCUUCGGAUCGUAAAACUCUGUUGUUAGAGAAGAACACGAGUGAGAGUAACUGUUCAUUCGAUGACGGUAUCUAACCAGCAAGUCACGGCUAACUACGUGCCAGCAGCCGCGGUAAUACGUAGGUGGCAAGCGUUGUCCGGAUUUAUUGGGCGUAAAGGGAACGCAGGCGGUCUUUUAAGUCUGAUGUGAAAGCCUUCGGCUUAACCGGAGUAGUGCAUUGGAAACUGUAAGACUUGAGUGCAGAAGAGGAGAGUGGAACUCCAUGUGUAGCGGUGAAAUGCGUAGAUAUAUGGAAGAACACCAGUGGCGAAAGCGGCUCUCUGGUCUGUAACUGACGCUGAGGUUCGAAAGCGUGGGUAGCAAACAGGAUUAGAUACCC
rnacentral:rRNA from 1 species